rnacentral:rRNA from 1 species
ACGAGGCACUACGGUGCUGAAGCAACAAAUGCCCUGCUUCCAGGAAAAGCCUCUAAGCAUCAGGUAACAUCAAAUCGUACCCCAAACCGACACAGGUGGUCAGGUAGAGAAUACCAAGGCGCUUGAGAGAACUCGGGUGAAGGAACUAGGCAAAAUGGUGCCGUAACUUCGGGAGAAGGCACGCUGACAUGUAGGUGAAGUGAUUUACUCAUGGAGCUGAAGUCAGUCGAAGAUACCAGCUGGCUGCAACUGUUUAUUAAAAACACAGCACUGUGCAAACACGAAAGUGGACGUAUACGGUGUGACGCCUGCCCGGUGCCGGAAGGUUAAUUGAUGGGGUCAGCGCAAGCGAAGCUCCUGAUCGAAGCCCCGGUAAACGGCGGCCGUAACUAUAACGGUCCUAAGGUAGCGAAAUUCCUUGUCGGGUAAGUUCCGACCUGCACGAAUGGCGUAAUGAUGGCCAGGCUGUCUCCACCCGAGACUCAGUGAAAUUGAACUCGCUGUGAAGAUGCAGUGUACCCGCGGCAAGACGGAAAGACCCCGUGAACCUUUACUAUAGCUUGACACUGAACAUUGAGCCUUGAUGUGUAGGAUAGGUGGGAGGCUUUGAAGUGUGGACGCCAGUCUGCAUGGAGCCGACCUUGAAAUACCACCCUUUAAUGUUUGAUGUUCUAACGUGGACCCGUGAUCCGGGUUGCGGACAGUGUCUGGUGGGUAGUUUGACUGGGGCGGUCUCCUCCUAAAGAGUAACGGAGGAGCACGAAGGUUGGCUAAUCCUGGUCGGACAUCAGGAGGUUAGUGCAAUGGCAUAAGCCAGCUUGACUGCGAGCGUGACGGCGCGAGCAGGUGCGAAAGCAGGUCAUAGUGAUCCGGUGGUUCUGAAUGGAAGGGCCAUCGCUCAACGGAUAAAAGGUACUCCGGGGAUAACAGGCUGAUACCGCCCAAGAGUUCAUAUCGACGGCGGUGUUUGGCACCUCGAUGUCGGCUCAUCACAUCCUGGGGCUGAAGUAGGUCCCAAGGGUAUGGCUGUUCGCCAUUUAAAGUGGUACGCGAGCUGGGUUUAGAACGUCGUGAGACAGUUCGGUCCCUAUCUGCCGUGGGCGCUGGAGAACUGAGGGGGGCUGCUCCUAGUACGAGAGGACCGGAGUGGACGCAUCACUGGUGUUCGGGUUGUCAUGCCAAUGGCACUGCCCGGUAGCUAAAUGCGGAAGAGAUAAGUGCUGAAAGCAUCUAAGCACGAAACUUGCCCCGAGAUGAGUUCUCCCUGAGACUUUAAGUCUCCUGAAGGAACGUUGAAGACGACGACGUUGAUAGGCCGGGUGUGUAAGCGCAGCGAUGCGUUGAGCUAACCGGUACUAAUGAACCGUGAGGCUUAACC